UGCCAAGUUACUUUUUUGAAU
rnacentral:piRNA from 1 species